rnacentral:rRNA from 1 species
UACGUAGGUGGCAAGCGUUUGUCCGGAAUUAUUGGGCGUAAAGCGCGCGCAGGCGGUCCUUUAAGUCUGAUGUGAAAGCCCACGGCUCAACCGUGGAGGGUCAUUGGAAACUGGGGGACUUGAGUACAGAAGAGAAGAGUGGAAUUCCACGUGUAGCGGUGAAAUGCGUAGAGAUGUGGAGGAACACCAGUGGCGAAGGCGACUCUUUGGUCUGUAACUGACGCUGAGGCGCGAAAGCGUGGGGAGCAACAGG